rnacentral:snRNA from 1 species
GUGCUGUCCUCAGCAACACAUAUACUACAGUUGGAAUGAUUCAAUGAAAAUUAACAUGACCCCUGCACAAGGGUGCACGCAAACGCAUGAAGCAUUCUGUAUUUUU